rnacentral:rRNA from 1 species
GAUGAACGCUGGCGGCGUGCCUAAUACAUGCAAGUCGAGCGAACGGACGAGAAGCUUGUUUUCUGGUCGUUGGGGGAGGCGGGGGGUUAACCCGGUGUAAACCUACCUUUAAUACGGGGGAAACUUCGGGAAACCGGGCCUAAAACCGGAAAAAUUUUUUGACCCCAUGGGUUAAAAGGGAAAGUCCGGCUUUCCGGCACUUAUUGGUGGCUUCCCGGCUGCUUAGGCUGGUUGUUAGGGUAACGCCUUACAAAGGCAAGGAUGCAUAGCCGACUUGAGAGGGGGAUCGGCCACACUGGAACGGAGACACGGUCCAGACGCCUACGGGAGGCAGCAGUAGGGAAUCUUCCGCAAUGGGCGAAAGCCUGACGGAGCAACGCCGCGUGAGUGAUGAAGGUCUUCGGAUCGUAAAACUCGGUUAUUAGGGAAGAACAUAUGUGGAAGUAACUGUGCACAUCGUGACGGUACCUAAUCAGAAAGCCACGGCUAACUACGUG